UGGGCCAUCAAUGUGAAAUCCAGUACGACCAAUUUGAGUGUCAUUAUUGCACGUGUCUACAAUUUCAAUGAAAAGGGAGAUCUGAAAUCUUCAGAUUAUCCCUACCAGCCAACGGUGACAUCAUUAUAGAUGGGAAGAGACUGAGAGAUUGAACACAAAAAAUUGCUCAUCUGCGUAUGGACUCUGGUAUUCGCUAAGCUAAUGAUUCAUUUGGGUGCCACACCACACACACACACUCACAAAUGUGUGAAUAUAUCAUAUGUAUUCGGUAGACAGUAUGCAGUACAUUUCUAGGAAGUAAUUGCCUUAAGACUUUUUUUUAAUAAACUAAAAAUUCUGUAAAAUUUAGUAAACUAAACCCCAAAUGUCCUGUUUUGACGGGGAAUAAUCCUACAUGUUGCUUAGGUUUAAGUCUACCCAGAUAAAAUAAAAUAAAAUGGCGUACGACUAUAUAAACGUGCGUUUUAGCAUUAUUAAUAAGCGGAAAUCAACGUUUGUACAUAAUACGAUGUUACUUACAUAUAUAAGUAAUGCCAGUUAGUAAUACCAUUGUAUAGUGUUUUUGUAUUGCUUUAGCAGUAACAUGGACGGAAU